UUCUCUCUUUGGAGAAAUUCGAUAAAAUUGGGUCGAUACAGAGAAGAUUAAUAUAGCCCCUACGUAGGGAUACAUGCACAAAUUGAGAAGUGGUCUAAAAUUUU
rfam:Citrus clementina cultivar Clemenules unplaced genomic scaffold scaffold_1, whole genome shotgun sequence.